CACCGGGGCAGGCGGCCUGACGGGGCGCCGGGGCCGUUAGAGGGCCCUCGCCCGGCGUCCCUGGCCGGCUAUGGCUGGCCUCAUCAAGAAGCAGAUCCUGAAGCACCUCUCCAGUACUCCCCCAUAAUGGCAUGAUAUUUAGUCCACACAUUAUGGAAAUGGGUGAAGAGAAACAGCCAUCAUCCUGCUCCUCCUUGUCCUUCUUUGUUUCUAAAAACGGUAUGGCUGUAUGUUCAGGCGCAGAAGACAGAGAAUGCACCAUUGUUGGCAGGAAUAGAGGGGAAGGCUUCAGCCAUGGCUGUUUACCUCCGAACAAGGCUGUUUACUGGCACUGAAACAUAAGGGGCCCUCAGUGUGAACCAAAGCAACUUACAGCUGGGAACACCCACAACACCCCUUGGACACCUCCCCCUUCACUUUUUUAUUUACUUGUUACACGUCUCUCCAGUUUUUCCAAGCGUCCAAUAUACAGAAGAAUAACAGCAAGUUAGCUUCUGAACUAGAAUCAAAUCAGCUAAAAGCACUGAUCUACCUGAACGGGAAUGGAAGCUAAAUAUUCAGUGACUUUUAUCAACCCUCUUUUUCUCCCUACCUUCUUUUUGAGGCAUUUUUGCCCCAAAAGUGUUUGAAUGCAAGAAAGUGUUUUGUGAAAUUUAAAAGCUGUUUUGCACCUAGUAUCAUAUUCCCUUGGCUCUGAUAAAGGUGUUAUGAUGCAGGUUUAUUUGGAUUUUUUAGUAGAUGGAAACACAGUGUUGACUCUUUGUUUUUGUUUUUACCUGUAACAGAAUGUGUGGUCUUCAAAGUUUCCAGAGCAUGAGAUUUGAGGUGUUUUGAUAUUAGCAACAAUGGCUUUUUUGAAGCCCAGAAGAAACAAUAUUUAUUAGUGAAAGAGAAAAAGGAAAUGAUCAAGCAAGAUGGUUUAAUACAAAUAGACCUCCACAGAGAAGUGAGAAGGGAGAUCACAGGUGAAGUUGCAAACAAAUUUCCUGCCGCCCUUGGUUAUAAGCUGGGGUCACUGCUGGUUUCCCCAAGAUAUUCAUGUGAUAUCAGGACUGGCCUUAAGCCACUAUCUUAAAAAUAUUUACUGGUGAUUAAUGGGUGCAACCAGUGCUUUAUGAUGCAUUCCAAAUCUAUUCUUUGCCUAGCUUACACUCAAUUCCUCCCUCCAGUUAUCUGUAGUACAGGCAAGUGAAGGGAAAUAGCUGUUCUGUUCCUGUGAGAGUGAAGGAUUAGGAAAUUCAAGGCUUUAUUUUGUGGCCAGUCCACACAUGCAGAUGAUCAAAGUCCUUUUCAUUCAGUAAAUCUUAAUUCUUUUAAGAGGGGGAAUCUUUGAUGCAGAGAUUGCAGCUCAGUGGUGGAAUAUAGUGCACGCUAUAAGGUUAUAUGCAACCCCCUCCCCUCCCCACUCUUUUUAAGACCCUCAACCCAAUUUUCCAUCUCUCCCCAUAAAAGUCUACUAAAGAGCCCCCUUAGGACAUGGGGGAAAUUUUGUUCUAUUUUUUGGCUGUUGAAGUCCAGGAAAGGUCUUUUCUAAUCAGAAGUAAACUAGAAUAGAAUUUCUGUUUGCUUCCUGGUUAGAAAAAGGUGUUUCCUGGGUGUAAAACAGCUGCAGAGAGAACAAAAAUGUCAUGGAAUUGGCUCCAAACUCUUUAGGCAGGUGACCACUUUUGGAGGGGUAAAUGGGGUGAAUGUUGUGGUGGGUGGGGGCAGUCUUCAGAAUCCAGACCUUGGAGAUUUCGGCAGUUGCCAACCCCAAAUAUAUGUGAUCCAGGUUCAGUCUCUGGUAUCUCCAGGCAGGACUGGAAAAACUCCUGCUUGUAACAUCGUAGAGUUCCUGUCUGUGAUUGUUAACAAUACUUGGCUAGACACUUGGCUGACUCAAAAUAAAGCAGCUUCUUAUGUUCCAUGUAAAUACUAUUAUACAUCAUGCAUUCUUUACUUCCAUGGGUGGUAGAAGACUCCAGGGCCAGCUCUUGCCUGGUCUUGGUUUGAUUUGAACAGAAAGAUUACUUCAGAUGUUUAUGGCAUUUUGGAAAAGAGUAUUUCAGUUUAUUUACUUAUGCACAAGUUGAGCACAUAGUCACAUCUAUAGGAAUCCCACUGACCCAUAUUAGAUUCCUGGAGAGAUACUUAAGCAUACAUGAACAUCUUAACAGAGAAACAAGGGGAAAGCCUCAGUAACUACCCUCAAGAGUGUUUAAAAAGCAUAGAUAAGUAUGGCCACCGAAAUGCAAAUCAUAAGAAGAGUAGAGACUGGUGAAAGGGGAAAAAAAUCUCUCGAUACAUUUUGGAAGAAGUUUUCAAAUGGUCCCCAGAAAGUUCAAAACGUUUUCAUUUAAGUAUGCAAGAUUUACUUCAUCUGGUUGUAUUUCAUGUGUACAUGUUGUUUAUUUUGGAUAAUUUUGUCAAAACUCUGAACUAUUCUUUUUUAUGGUGCAGGAACCAUAAAACUAUUCUUUGCAUGUUAUUUCUUCCUUUGCUAUCAAAUUUUCUGAUAAAGAAGUCAUGCCCAGGAACACAUGAGCUCUGCUAACGGGGGUAUACCUACAUUCCAGAGAGGACAGAAAAAAGGAAACAAUGCAGGUUUAUGUCCUUUUUGUGAGUUUCCCAGAUUUGGUCUCCUGGUGUAUAAUUACAGUAUAGUUAUCUUUUAGAGAUUAUUAUCUCCAUCUGUUGUGUAUAUCAAUUGCACCCCGACACCAUUAUUGAAGACAGCACUGAAUUCAUCAGGUUUACCUUCAGAACUGCUGAGACAAUAACCUCAUUAUCCAAGUAGCUGAGGAAUUUGCAACAACUGGUUACAGGAGAAACUAAUGUUGCCUAAAAUACCUGUUGCAGCUGAAGGGAAGUGCUGAAACCACAGAACUCCAAACUGUUAAAAAUGGAUGGUGGUAAACUUUAGAAAAUUGCAGUCUUACCACUCUUAAAAGCAUAAAGUUUAAUUUUUAAAAGGUGCUGUUUGUUUGAAAGCUAGCCAUCCAAUGUUGUCCAAGAACUAUCUGACCUGUUGCUAGAACUGAAAGCACUGCAUCCUGAACCAAUGGAAUAAACCAUAAAGACAGGGAAGAUUCAAAGAAAAAACUUGCUUUGGAUUCUCUAAUAAGCUUGUCUAGAAGACCUAUGUUUGUAAUUAUGUAGUACAUAACAUAUUGAUAGGUGAUACAGUUGGCCCUUGAUAUUCACAUUUAGCCAUCCAAUGCUUGAAAUUACUAUAUAUUACAAAAAACAAAUCUUGAUUUUGCCAUUUUAUAUAAAGGUCACCAUUUUACUGUGCCAUUGAAUUUGAUGGGACGUGAAUAUCCACAAAUUUUGGCAUCCAAAAAGGGUCUUGGAACCAAACCCCAGCAGAUAUUAAGGGCCCGGUGUACUUAUUAUAGCAGUGCCAGAAGAUGGCUGCUGUUAUUAUUUUUCUAUCUGACAAAGAGAGAUUGUACUUUACAGGAUCUUUUAAGAGAGUUAAGAAGGUUGUACAUGGCUCAGUUUAGCUGCCUGUGUUGUCCUCUGUGGCAGGCAUUCUAGAAGCAAUUGUAUGUAAUUCUGUAGUUAAGUUUCUCAAGAAUAAAAUAGUGUUCUACCCUGCUGUGGCUAGCAUUUAAUGUUUAUAAAUGAGACAUGAAGAGCCCUCCAGAAGUUGUUGAAUUCUGCAGCCUAUUAUUCUUGAGCAUUGGCAAAGAUGUUGGGAGUUGAUAGUCACCAUCUGUAGGGCAACAGGUUCCCCAGGAUU